UUUUCAGUGUGGCUGAAUGAGGUGUGUUUGGGGGUUUGUGUGUGAUUUAAUUCGUUUUUCUUUUUAAAAUCUACACAGUGAUCUUAUUUGAUCUGGUCGGAGUUCGGCUCUGCUCUGAUCAGAAAUGAUAGGAAAAGCGCUCUCGAGCCUCCGUGGCGAUGAGAAGCUGUCGAGUUAAAACUGGGGCCUCCACGCUUCGUGCUGUGGUUAGAAGUGAUGAAUUGAUCAGAUAUACUAGUUCUGGGUGAGCUUUGAGGUUCGCCUCGAGUUUCACAGUGGACUGUGAGUAAAGAGGCGAUUCUGAUCUUA